rnacentral:rRNA from 1 species
AGAGUUUGAUCCUGGCUCAGGACGAACGCUGGCGGCGUGCCUAACACAUGCAAGUCGAACGGAAGUUAGAGCUUCGGUUUUAACUUUAGUGGCGAACGGGUGAGUAACGCGUGAGGAACCUGCCUUUCAGUGGGGGACAACAGUUGGAAACGACUGCUAAUACCGCAUGACACUUUUGGGGGACAUCUCUUAAAAGUCAAAGCUUUAUGUGCUGAAAGAUGGCCUCGCGUCUGAUUAGCUAGUUGGUGAGGUAACGGCUCACCAAGGCGACGAUCAGUAGCCGGUCUGAGAGGAUGAACGGCCACAUUGGGACUGAGAUACGGCCCAGACUCCUACGGGAGGCAGCAGUGGGGAAUAUUGGGCAAUGGGGGAAACCCUGACCCAGCAACGCCGCGUGAAGGAAGAAGGCCUUCGGGUUGUAAACUUCUUUUACCAGGGACGAAGGACGUGACGGUACCUGGAGAAAAAGCAACGGCUAACUACGUGCCAGCAGCCGCGGUAAUACGUAGGUUGCAAGCGUUGUCCGGAUUUACUGGGUGUAAAGGGCGUGUAGGCGGAGAUGCAAGUUGGGAGUGAAAUCCAUGGGCUCAACCCAUGAACUGCUCUCAAAACUGUAUCCCUUGAGUAUCGGAGAGGCAAGCGGAAUUCCUAGUGUAGCGGUGAAAUGCGUAGAUAUUAGGAGGAACACCAGUGGCGAAGGCGGCUUGCUGGACGACAACUGACGCUGAGGCGCGAAAGCGUGGGGAGCAAACAGGAUUAGAUACCCUGGUAGUCCACGCU